AACGCAUCUUGCGCCCUUUGGCAUUCCGAAGGGCAUGCCUGUUUGAGUGUUGCGAACCUCUCAUCCCCCAGGGUUCCUAGGGACCUUGCGCGGAUUGGACCGUGGCCGCACCGGUCGGCAGCUCAGCUGUCGACCCGGCCGAAAUGCAUACGGAGCGCAUCUGCACUCUGUGACGACCAAGCGUUGUAGACCCCUCGCUUGGACCCGUUGCGCUAGUGAGAGCAGGCUCCCCCGCUUCCAUACUAUUCAACCUCAAAUCAGGUAGGACUACCCGCUGAACUUAA
rnacentral:misc_RNA from 1 species